CGCCUAACACAUGCAAGUCGCACGAGAAAGGGAGCAAUCCCCGGUACAGUGGCGCACGGGUGAGUAACACGUAGAUGACCUUCCCUGGAGUGGUGGAUAACCUGCCGAAAGGCGGGCUAAUACAGCAUGGGACCACAUGGUUUUGACCGAGUGGUGAAAGCGGGCCUCUGUUCACAAGCUCGCGCUCUGGGAUGGGUCUGCGUCCCAUCAGCUAGUUGGUGAGGUAAUGGCUCACCAAGGCAUCGACGGGUAGCUGGUCUGAGAGGAUGACCAGCCACACUGGAACUGAGACACGGUCCAGACUCCUACGGGAGGCUGCAGUCGAGAAUCUUCCGCAAUGGGCGAAAGCCUGACGGAGCGACGCCGCGUGGAGGAUGAAGGCCUUCGGGUUGUAAACUCCUGUCACGAGUUAAGAAAGGAAUGCCGCGAAUAGCGGUAGGCCCUGACGUAAGCUCGAGAGGAAGCACUGGCUAACUCUGUG
rnacentral:rRNA from 1 species